rnacentral:lncRNA from 1 species
GUAUGCCUCUGGCUGGGACGCGUUGCAUGUUAUAUAGAUCGACAGGUUUACAAGAUAUGGUAGUUCGGUUGGUGUUGGAUUGAUCCUGAAGAAAGCUAUACAGAGAUGAGGAUGAAUCCUAACAACCGCAACUACCUGAUUACAAUGACCCACGCAACACACAUAAUCCUACCAGACGUAUAUACGGUUUAUAUUCAUACCGUAUAUACAUGUACAAUACUUCCUAACAAGGAAUGGAGAGAAAACCCUUUUUUAUUUUCAAGAAGGAUGUCCAUAGCACCUCUCGGCCGAGCUCACACAAGUCGUCUGUUCAAACUGCCUGUGGAGAAGGAACAACCAUCUCAAGUUAAUUAGCAAACAAGAAAAAAUCCCGAAACGAUGAGCUAGCAGGCAAGUAAUAUACCAAGUGGACAUAAUAAAUAAAGAAUAAAAAUUAGUAGAAAAGUGAUUCCAUUAGACUGUUUUGAAGCGUGCCACACUUCUGCCUUGGCUGUGGGAAAUGUUUCAUGGAGGCGAGAGGUGUGUGAAUGAGGGGCAGCUGGCUCAGAGCUUCUCCCAGGAAGUCUAGGUACUCUCAGAAAUCGUCAACAAAACAAAGCUUGGGAUCAAGCUGCUGGGGUAGCAGAUGGGUUUCAUCAGAGUCGGCAACCAGGGGGAGCACUAUUAUUCGUGAUCUAUCUCCCUCCAAGGCGGGCGCUGCUUGUAUCUGAGCCAGGGGCGAUCAAGGAGGAAGUCACCAGCCCCAUGAAGGAAGGUGCAAUAGAUGGGAGUGGUGGCUAGAGGUGAUGGGCAAGAACAAGGUCUGCUCGCCUACCAAAAAGGCAAGCAUGGCUGGAGCGGCGCCAGGACAUUCUAGCAAAAUAAGGUGCAAAUAUGUGAAAAAGCCCAGGCCUCAGGAGGCAGGACAGGGAGCACCCUUAAAACAAAAGCAAAAUCCUACCUCCAAAAAAAGGAGUGUGAGGAGGGUGUGGGUGUCGGUCCAACAUGGUCUUGUUUGUGGGCGUGAUAGAAGAUACAAAAGUGUCUGCAGAAGGAGUGAAAAGACAACGAGCCGUUGAAGGGAGUGACACUGCGAACCUAACUAAGAAAACGCUACCAAGGAGGAGCAGGCCCGCCGGGCACAAUGAGGAUCUUGGUUUGGAACUGUCAGGGUUUGGGGUUGACCCCGACAGUGGGAGAAUUCAGGGACCUAGUUCGGUCCUUCAACCCCAGGCCGGUGUUUCUAUGCGAAACCAAGAAGAGGGCACCGGCGAUGGAGAGACUAAGGCGGAGUUUGGGUUUCAAAAUGUCUAUGCUGUGAAUUGUUAUGGAAAAGGAGGAGGUUUGGCUCUAUGGUGACGGGACGGAUUCUCAACGGAUUUCAGACCCUACUCACAGUACCACAUGGACAUAUAUAUUCAGGGGGAUGGGAGAAAGUGGCGGUUCUCAGGGAUCUAUGGAGAACCUAAAGCAGAACUCCGUGACAAAACCUGGAGUAUCAUCCGGUAUCUAUGUGCACAGUCUGACUUACCUUGGCUGUGUGGAGGAAAUUUUAAUGAGGUUCUACAAGCUUCAGAGCAGCCAGGUCAAAAUGAGAGAAAUCCCACCCAUAUGGAAAGAUUUAGGGAACAUGUGGAGGUCUGUGGGCUUCAAGACCUUGGCUACUCAGGGUAUCCUUUCACUUGGAAUAAUGUCCAAGUGAGAUUGGAUAGAGCCUUUGGGAACGCUGCUCUCUUAAGGGAUUCAGGAACAGGAAAUGUUACGUAUGCUCUUGCUUACCUUCUACUGACUUGUCUUGCAUACCAUCUGCUGAUGGUGGUCCGGAGCGCCUCUCUGCUAAGUCUACAGAAACCUUCUGUUGAGAAUGCCUGCAGAGGAUCAACAUAGUUUAACUCAAGAUAAUUAACAAACAAGAAGCUUCUGAUAUAAGUUCCAGCUAGCAGGCAAAGAAAAUAUACCAAAUGGGCAUAAACAAGAACAGGUAGAAAAGUGAUUCUGUUAUAGUACUAUUUUGAAAAUGUAGACAUAAUUGCUUCCUCGGCUCCAUCCUCCAGCGCACCAAGAGCAGUUCAACACCUCCAGACACUCUGUCGUGGCGACCACCAUCAGCUGAUCCGGGGACUGGUGUCGUCCAGGCAUACUGGAGCACCUGGUCUUCUGGGUCCAUAACCGCCACCACAGGCAUAUACCACGUCCGCGCCCCUGCACCACCCAUGCCCUGGCACCAGCCUUCCACCAACUGACCUUGCGGUGUUCUACCAGCCUGCAUCGCCACCAGCUGCACCAACUCCACCGUCUGUUCCGACAUGUACGACUGCACCAAGCUGGGACCAGGUGGCUUUUCUUGCUGCCAUGAACUACACCAGACAGGGCAUUGGAGCUGGCUGAUCUUCAACUCACGUGCUUCGGCACAUAUGUCUGGCAGCCCUGAUAUGUUGUCAUAUGCCUUCUCAUCUUCCAUGUAUUACCAUUGCCAGUGGUUCCUCUGUUCCAUUUUGUUGCAUUGGCAACUCCUCUAUUCAUACUUCUACUAAUCUAUUCAUUCUACGAAAUGUUCUUGUCCCACCAUCACUAGUUAAAAUUCUCAUCUCUGUUCAGCAAUUUACCAUGAUAACCAUGUCUGCAUAAACUAGUUGCUACCAUAAACACGAUCCUACUAAAGCACAAUAGAAAUGGUGCAGUGGAUAACGUUCAUCCUAAGUGCUCACCUCUCGCUGUAUUCCUUGAUCUUUGGAGACAUUACAUCAAGUACCAAAAGCGCAGCCCGCCAGUUCCAAUUCCAAUCAUAAAGACAAGCACGUCAUAUUUAAGUAAUAGACCAGGAGCCUAAAUUGAUUCGACUUCCAAAGUUACUGACCUUAAGCAGCUCCAGAUCAGUGCCCACCUUACUGAUCUCCUACUGGAGAUGUGAGAUUGUCGCCUAAACGCAGCACAAAAAUAUGUCAAGGUUGAACCAAAUCAGGCGAAUUGGCACUAAAUGGAGAUAUGAAUAUGAUUCAUCAAUUCGGGGCCAGAAAGAUGAGGAGAGAC